GACGAACGCUGGCGGCGUGCCUAAUACAUGCAAGUAGGACGCUGAAGGAGGAGCUUGCUUCUCUGGAUGAGUUGCGAACGGGUGAGUAACGCGUAGGUAGCCUGCCUGGUAGCGGGGGAUAACUAUUGGAAACGAUAGCUAAUACCGCAUAAUAGUAGAUGUUGCAUGACAUUUGCUUAAAAGGUGCAAUUGCAUCACUACCAGAUGGACCUGCGUUGUAUUAGCUAGUUGGUGGGGUAACGGCUCACCAAGGCGACGAUACAUAGCCGACCUGAGAGGGUGAUCGGCCACACUGGGACUGAGACACGGCCCAGACUCCUACGGGAGGCAGCAGUAGGGAAUCUUCGGCAAUGGACGGAAGUCUGACCGAGCAACGCCGCGUGAGUGAAGAAGGUUUUCGGAUCGUAAAGCUCUGUUGUAAGAGAAGAACGAGUGUGAGAGUGGAAAGUUCACACUGUGACGGUAUCUUACCAGAAAGGGACGGCUAACUACGUG
rnacentral:rRNA from 1 species